ensembl:lncRNA
UAACGACACAGCUUUACCAACUGUAAUGAAGAUCUGCUUGGUCGUAUUAAACCGCACCAAUCUCUUAACCAGGAAGAGCGGGAGCAGUUAUGGUGAGGAUGAGCGUAGCGACACGUCGCAGCGUGCACUCGUACAGAUCUGUUCGUCAUCCUUUGUUUUGCUCUGAGGGGGAAGAUGGUCUGCAGGAAUGGUGGUAAUCAGGUAGCCGGGCUGCUGCUCUCUUUAUGGUGCAACAAAGGUAGCCUCGCACUCUUACUGUCUCACUCCCUGUUGUUAUGUGCUCUUCCCUCUGUGUGGUGCUUUUUUUGUAACGAUGUUAUGUGUGUACAGAAAAUGCCUUAUUGGUGUGAACGCUGCUUUGAGUGUUAACUAUAUGCGUGUGUGUUUUUUUUGUUAUUCACAUUUUUUGUUCUUAAAGACAGGGGGACUCCCACUGUCAUUGGUUUGUAUCAUGUGCCUUCAUUGCAUGCCGGUGUGGGAUGAGCAUGCAAUGUGUGAAAGAACCGCAUUGAACCCACAGGGAGGACAGAUCACAGGCACGCGGUGAAUGCCAAGAGAGAAGCCACAGUCUUCGCUUACCCGAGAAAACCAGCAAAACAGCCGCCACGGGACAAGAGACGGGCUGUGACAACUACACGGAUGCUGCAAUUCCACGAGAUUAACAAGCAGCGACAUUAACAGUCACACAGACGCCGGGUGGGCGGAGGGGGGGGGCAAAGAGGUUAAAGAGCCGUGACCUCGAGGCACGUCAAUAGAUCGGUUAAUGCAAACCAGAGGAGAAAAAACAGAACCUGCAGAGGGAAAUGCACCAGAGUCAGCGGGCACCGGUUCAUAGUAAUAUACUGGUUUCCAUAAUGACAGAACAGCCUUCCGGUGUCGGGUCCUGUGGCCAAAUGGACAGAGGGAUCGCACCGGGGGAUUUGCCAUGUGGUGACAGAGGGCCGCUUCAAAGGUCUCUUCAUGCAUGAGAGUACACUUGCCCCGUUUUAAGGGGAAGAGGGGAAAAACAGGGGGAUUGCUAUAAUGGCACGAUGAGCUGUUGUAAGAUAAUUAUUUUCAUCAUGAAGGGGUUACUUUCAACAUCGUUCUCAUGCAGGAUACUUUACAAUAUUCUAUGCCCUUACAUAGUCUGAAAGUAACGCUCUGCAGUUUAUUUUUAAAUCAUGAAUUAAAUUAGGUUACAUUUCGUUAUUCCUGCCUGUGGGUUACAAUAUCAUGCCUUUGUUUGUAUUUAUACUCUGCAAAACAUAAAUAAAUAAAGAAGUAAUAUCACAGAUUACAUUUCUAUUUGUAUUUUUUUUUGUCUCUUUUUUGAGUAAAAAGGCCCAAAGCACUUCAUGUGCUUUAAAUAAUGAGCUUCAUUUCUAG